AUCAAUUUUUUUACAAAAAUUAAUUUUCAUAAUUUGGUUUUUUAAAUGAAAAUAGGUUUAUAUUUCAAGAAACAUUGUGAAUUUCAGAAAAAGAAACGAUUUAUCUGAAAAUACAUUUAAUUUUUUUGUAGUUUCAAAAAAAAAGAGUU
ensembl:ncRNA R11E3.17 ncRNA